AGCGAACGCUGGCGGCAGGCCUAACACAUGCAAGUCGAACGAAGUCUUCGGACUUAGUGGCGGACGGGUGAGUAACACGUGGGAACGUGCCUUUAGGUUCGGAAUAACUCAGGGAAACUUGUGCUAAUACCGAAUGUGCCCUUCGGGGGAAAGAUUUAUCGCCUUUAGAGCGGCCCGCGUCUGAUUAGCUAGUUGGUGGGGUAAUGGCCCACCAAGGCUACGAUCAGUAGCUGGUCUGAGAGGAUGACCAGCCACAUUGGGACUGAGACACGGCCCAAACUCCUACGGGAGGCAGCAGUGGGGAAUCUUGCGCAAUGGGCGAAAGCCUGACGCAGCCAUGCCGCGUGUAUGAUGAAGGUCUUAGGAUUGUAAAAUACUUUCACCGGUGAAGAUAAUGACUGUAGCCGGAGAAGAAGCCCCGGCUAACUUCGUGCCAGCAGCCGCAGUAAGAC
rnacentral:rRNA from 1 species